rfam:Cajanus cajan Scaffold130507_7, whole genome shotgun sequence.
GGUGUGGGGAAUGUUGCCUCGGCUCGAGAACAAUUACUCUCAGCUGAUAAGAGUUGUCAGUGUUUAAUUUCUCGGACCAGGCUUCAUUCCCCUCACU